rnacentral:rRNA from 1 species
CGUAGGGAUAACUUGCUGAAAGGCGAGCUAAUACCGGAUGUGAUUGCUGGGGGGCAUCCUCUGGCACUUAAAGUCGGGGACCGUAAGGCCUGACACUUUUCGAUAAGCCCGCGGCCUAUCAGCUAGUUGGUGAGGUAACGGCUCACCAAGGCUAAGACGGUAGCUGGUCUGAGAGGACGACCAGCCACACUGGAACUGAGACACGGUCCAGACACCUACGGGUGGCAGCAGUCGAGAAUUUUUCUCAAUGGGGGAAACCCUGAAGGAGCGACGCCGCGUGGGGGAUGAAUGGCUUCGGCCCGUAAACCCCUGUCAUUUGCGAUCAAACCUUGCGAUCUAACACAUCGUAAGCUGAUAGUAGCGAAAGAGGAAGGGACGGCUAACUCUGUGCCAGCAGCCGCGGUAAUACAGAGGUCCCAAGCGUUGUUCGGAUUCACUGGGCGUAAAGGGUGCGUAGGCGGUCGGGUAAGUCUAACGUGAAAUCUCCGAGCCUAACUCGGAAACUGCGUCGGAUACUAUUCGGCUAGAGGAAUGGAGGGGAA